CACCAUCACUUACUUUCUUCUCUUCAAAGAGAGAUUGAAUUCCUUUUGCCUUGUCAAAAACUUAUGUACUUCAGUAUGCUGAAACUAUUCGUAGUUUUUGCCGUUUUUGUUGCGGCUGCCCAAGUAUCCGCCACAUGUUCUGAUGAACAAUUACGGAAAUGCUUGUCGAAAUUUAGACACUUGUCAGAAGCCAAGGAUAG
rnacentral:lncRNA from 1 species